rnacentral:rRNA from 1 species
UACGUAGGGUGCAAGCGUUGUCCGGAAUUAUUGGGCGUAAAGAGCUCGUAGGCGGUGUGUCGCGUCGGCCGUGAAAACCUGCAGCUUAACUGUGGGCUUGCGGUCGAUACGGGCAUCACUGGAGUUCGGCAGGGGAGACUGGAAUUCCUGGUGUAGCGGUGGAAUGCGCAGAUAUCAGGAGGAACACCGGUGGCGAAGGCGGGUCUCUGGGCCGUAACUGACGCUGAGGAGCGAAAGCAUGGGGAGCGAACAGG